rnacentral:rRNA from 1 species
CCUACGGGCGGCAGCAGUGAGGAAUAUUGGUCAAUGGACGAGAGUCUGAACCAGCCAAGUAGCGUGAAGGAUGACUGCCCUAUGGGUUGUAAACUUCUUUUAUAUGGGAAUAACAUGUUCCACGUGUGGGAUUUUGUAUGUACCAUAUGAAUAAGGAUCGGCUACCUCCGUUCCAGCAGCCGCGGUAAUACGGAGGAUCCGAGCGUUAUCCGGAUUUAUUGGGUUUAAAGGGAGCGUAGGUGGAUUGUUAAGUCGGUUGUGAAAGUUUGCGGCUCAACCGUAAAAUUGCAGUUGAAACUGGCAGUCUUGAGUACAGUAGAGUUGGGCGGAAGUCGGGGUGUAGCGGUGAAAUGAUUAGAUAUCACGAAGAAUUCCGAUUGCGAAGGCAGCUAACUGGACUGCAACUGAAACUGAGGCUCGAAAGUGUGGGUAUAAAACAGGAUUAGAUACCCUGGUAGUC